rnacentral:rRNA from 1 species
UAGGGAAUAUUGGACAAUGGGGGCAACCCUGAUCCAGCAAUGCCGCGUGAGUGAUGAAGGCCUUAGGGUUGUAAAGCUCUUUUACCCGGGAUGAUAAUGACAGUACCGGGAGAAUAAGCUCCGGCUAACUCCGUGCCAGCAGCCGCGGUAAUACGGAGGGGGCUAGCGUUGUUCGGAAUUACUGGGCGUAAAGCGCACGUAGGCGGCGAUUUAAGUCAGAGGUGAAAGCCCGGGGCUCAACCCCGGAAUAGCCUUUGAGACUGGAUUGCUUGAACAUCGGAGAGGUGAGUGGAAUUCCGAGUGUAGAGGUGAAAUUCGUAGAUAUUCGGAAGAACACCAGUGGCGAAGGCGGCUCACUGGACGAUUGUUGACGCUGAGGUGCGAAAGCGUGGGGAGCAAACA